AUAAUAAAGAUCUUACUUAUCUUAAUUAUUUUUUUUGUGAGAAAAAUCUUUUUAUUUGGUAUAAUUAAAGAAAAAUUUCUUUUUGUUAUAGUAUAUUAGUACUGUCAAGGAAUUGAUGAAAUAAAUUAAAUAUUAAUUUUAAAUAAGUAUGCUUGUUUUGCAGUACCUUUUGUAUCAGGGUUGAUCAAUUAAUCUAAUUUAUAUUUAUAUCUCGAUUUUAGAAGAGCUAAUUUGUUAUUUUAGUUAAUGUGGAAUAAUUAUUAAUAAUAUAAAUUAGUGAAGAAAUUUUAUUCGAUUCUAAAGGUAUCUAGUUUUUUAAGAAAUAAAUUUAAUUUAACCUCAGCACUUAAUUUUUAUCUUUUUAUAUAAAUUAUAUGCUGGGAUAAAAAUUAUAGGGGACAAGCUCUAUUUUUUUCUAUAAAAUUUUGUAUUAAUAUAUUUAUGUAGGAUUAAAAAUAUCCACCAUUAGUAAAUAUAUUAUAAUUUAUAUUUAUCAUUAAUUAAUUUUAUUUUUUUUAGUAUAUUAUUAAAAUAUCAAAAUAAAUUAAAUAUUUUGAGGAAUAAUGAUUAAAUUAGUAUAAUUUAUUGUUUAUUAUAUUAUUAUUUUUAUGAUAAAAUAAGGAACUCGGCAAUAUAUAGUUCUCGCCUGUUUAUCAAAAACAUGUCCUUUUGAAUUUAAUUGAAGGUCUGACCUGCCCAGUGAGGAGUUCAACGGCCGCGGUAUAUUGACCGUGCAAAGGUAGCAUAAUCAUUAGUCUUUUAAUAGAGGGCUGGAAUGAAAGGUUUAACGAGGAACUGACUGUCUCAUUUUAUUUGUUUUAAAAUUUAAUUUUUUAGUUAAAAAGCUAAAAUUUUAUUGGAAGACGAGAAGACCCUAUAGAUCUUUACAUAAAAUUUUAUAAAUAUUUAUAUAUUAAUAUUUUUAUACUUUUUUAUGUUUUGUUGGGGUGACAAAAAUAUAUAAUUAACUUUUUUAUUUAAAUUACAUUGAUUUAUGAAUAUUAGAUCCAUUAUUAUUGAUUAUUAGACUAAGUUACCUUAGGGAUAACAGCGUAAUCCUCCUCCAGAGUUCAUAUUUACAGGAUGGGCUUGCGACCUCGAUGUUGGAUUAAGAUAAUAAUUAGGUGUAGCAGCUUAAUUUAUAGGUCUGUUCGACCUUUAAACUCUUACAUA
rnacentral:rRNA from 1 species